GCGCUCCAUGGGCUGCGCCUAGAGCAAGGAGGCGCGGGCGGCCGAGCGGAAGGCCAAGCGCAAGAGUGACCGGGACGGUCGCACGGCAGGGAUGGUUCAGCCUCUUGCUGUUAUCUGUCAGGAUCCCCUGAGAACUAUCUUUGAGUACGGUGAAAUGAGUGGGGAAUAGCGAAUGAACUGCCGGAAGUCUCCAGUCAGAUGACAGAACUAAAGAUGUAAUCCAUGCUAAGGAUCAUCUCUCUAGUCAAACUUUGCCAAAAAGCUCAGCCGUCGUGGUGAGUGGCCACCUCAGGGCCCACCAGCACAGCCCUCGAGGCUCCCAGAGCCCAGGCACGGGCCUGUUUCCACAGCCACCGUGUGGUCAUCUUCAGCAGGUCCACGCGCAGAUGCUAUACUGAGGUAAGGCUUUAACCUCCGA
rnacentral:lncRNA from 1 species